ensembl:lncRNA
CUGCAAUCUAGUGUGAGGAUGAGAUGGUAUUUUAAUAGGGCUGCAUUUAUCAACUGUAACAAGGGAGGGAAUGUGCUCCAACCCAGCGCGCCUUGUGGGCAAUGCAAGCAAGAGUCAGCGAGUGCGACCGCCGGAGGAGUGCGGCGAUGGGAGGAAGGCAGACGGACAGACAGCCUGCUGGGAACGAGGGCGGUCUGCAGGUGAUCUCGCAGGGGAGGGUGCGGCACCCACUGCCCAUCUUAGCGGGAUCCCAUCCCCUCGCGCCACCAUCCUCAAUGCUCCUGGAAACCUGAAUUUCUGACUUGACUUGCGAUGGGAUUUGCAUGUCUAGCCAGUGACACUACUAUUUUCAGAAGUAAUUACAUUUUUAAUUACGCUUUUUAAUAGCUGGUAGCUGCUGCUUUGCAGUUUUGUUCCUGUCCCUCUUGGACGCACCUUGGAGCAACACCAGGAGCCUCCACUUCCCUUCCAGUGAGAUGUGAGAGUGUGAACACACAGCGAGAAAGGGGAGAACGCGUGUGUCGAUGCGUGCAACUGAUCUCGCAGCCACAUAUCGCAGCUGGAGACUGAAACCAGAGCUGGGCAGUGCAUCUCAGAGCCACGGGAACAGCCCCUCAGCAUUUCCCAACACAAGUCUGGAGAAAGAAUGAGGAAGACAGAAGGGCCCAGAUCUGCAGCGUGCAGACAGAGCUGGUCCUAGGAAAAGCACACCAGCUUUCCUCUAAAUCAGGCGUUUGGGCUGAGCGCUUGUGAUUGUAGGAGAAAGGGAAAGUGAUCAUAUAAAAGCAGCCACAGGAGAGGUGAAAUAAACUCUUCAAAGAGGGCUCGUGCUGGUGCAGAUUCUGCAUUGAAAAUCCAGAGUCAGAGAAUUCUCUGUGACGUUGGGCAAGGCGCUGCAUCUCUUACCAGCUCAGACUGCCAGUUGGUCACCGAGACACACCAACCUCCGCACUGCUCCUGUCCGUGGAAACAGACAGAGGUGUGGAAGAAUGAGGGUAUAUCUUUUCUAGAGAUCCGAAAGAAGGAGAGCUCUAAAUACAACAGAAAGGAAUUAGAGGCAGCUCAUUUUGAUCCAGGCAGAUCCUUCAACCUUUUGAAAUUUAAAGGAUCCCUGACUUUCCUGAAGCAGUCUCAAGACUCCCAUGCACCCAUGUGCAGAGAAAAUAAAAGUCCCUCUGCGCCGCCUGCUCAUUAAUUUGCUUUUCUUUUCUCAUCAUUUGUUUGCUAGCUUGUCUGCUUGGGAAGAUGGCGUGGGUUUCUAUGAUUUUCCAGUCAUUGCCUAACCCACCUGUUGUAGGGCCCAGCAGCGCUUAAUGGCACUGAGCACCACGGAGCUGCAAUGCCCAUAAGCAUGUCUGUUCCCAGUCCCUUUGGAGUCACUCCCUCACAGACACCCUUUCAUCAGCAGAUUUCAGGUGUGCAGCAAACCCUGGGCGCAUGGAGCACAGCAUACUGGAGCACUGCUGGCUGCACACCCCAGCACGCACCGGUGCGUGUCCCUGUCCAGCCAGCUACAAACAGCAGCACAGAGUGGCUGUGAUUUGGCAUCUCAUUACCACAAUGUCUUCGGCAGUUCAGGAAGGCAAAUGUAUAGUUCAUUUUCUGCAGUGAAGGUUCAAGAAUAAACUGAGGAGACGUGGCUGUUCCUUUGGAGUUUGAAAACCCCUUAUAUCAAAUACGUGUGGGUUUCUCAGUCAAGAACCCAGGCUGUCCCCAGGUGACACCCCUCGAAGAGUUAAUUCCUGAGAAGCAGCAGCUUUGGAAAGGUACGAGGAGGAAUGUCUUGUCCUCGGGAUGGGAGCAGCCAAUGGAGCCGGGUGCCGGUGAUGUAAUGCAGCAAACCUGGUGCAUCAUUGGCCCCAAAGAUAUUAGACUUGAUAUGAUUUUGGAGAGUUGGGUGAGAGGAGUUUUUGCAAGAAGAGCCUGUAAAUUUCCCUGCACCAAGGACACCUCACUGAAAUCCUCCAGUGCUCCUCAGCUGGGCAUGUCUGGCCAGGAGAAGUUUGCUCUGAUGAUAAUAAUUCUGCCUUGUGUCUUCUCGGUACUGUUUAGCUAUUCUGCACUCUGCUAUCUGGGAGGCAUUUCUCUGAAGUCAGCCUGUGCUGGAAUUACUUCUUCAGCCUGCCCAUGAAAUUGAAAUUAAUUUUCAAUAAGAAGCAGUUGUUUUUUCUCUGACUCACCUCUGAACUCUUAAUUGUUUCAGGCACCAACUUCCAUUCCCCCAGCUUCUAUUACCUUCCUAGGUUUUCAUCUGCCCAGUCUUAUUUCUUUAGCUGAUUACUUCAUGAGGAGAUGGCUGAUGAUGUCAUAAAUGAACCUCUCCAGUCUGGGCUUGCUCUGGAUGGAGCUGCUCACAGCCCCGCGGUGGCAGCCCAGGAGCACAGAACCUCUCGCUCUGAGCUCUGGGGAUGCAGUGUUUACAUGAGGCAGCAGCCCUCACUGCCACUGCUGCCCUGAGCAGUUCACCCCACCUGCAGCCACAUUCAGUCCCAGGAUCCUCUGACAUUCGCAUCCCUUUC